rnacentral:rRNA from 1 species
UGGUACAUGAGGACGGUGCAGUGCCUCAUAGAACCGCGUGACCAGGGGACGGUACGGUGCAAAGAGCAUGCGAGCCAUGCACAGCGGGGCUUGCUCACCUCUGACGUAGCCGUGGAAUAGGAAAGGGACGUCCGAGCAGACGAAGAAGGGUUAGGAAGUAAAGAUUAGUGAAUUAGUCUCCUCUCACUCCGCUCGACCGGCCCGACGAGAAGCAGCCCCUGCAGCGGUAAAUGAACGGGCGCGGUUGCCGGUUGAUGAGCGGCCCUAAGCGGCACACGGGUACAUGUCGGCGGAAGGUCUUCGGUAAGCUCCCCGCCGGGCGUUGCGAGCGCACCUCCAGGGCUGGAUCCUCCACCUGCUCCGACACACCGAGCGCCGACUCGACGAGAAUCGGACCCAACGGUAGCAGAGGCACGCGGUGCGACUGUCCUUCGACCAGCGGCUCAGGGGCCCGUAAGCGGUACGUGGGUCCAUGAGGCUGCGGAGGGGUUAUCGACAGGCUCGCCGCCUGGCGCUGCGAGCGCGCUCACAGGUUACCGAGGCCACAGGCUACUCGCACCGACGGCCGGUACCGGCACCAGCACACGGUGACGGAGAGGGCGACGGCGAUCUUACUGCCUCCGAGCGCCGGUUCUAGGCCCCUCUUCCUCGAGGCACUGCCGCUCGAGGAGAUCCUCGUCCCGCUGGUGCAUGAGGUUCUCGUGCUGCUGCUGUUCGAACUCCGAGGAAGCCCGCUGGAAUUGUUCCUUCUCCCACCGUCGACCUACUCCCAAUUUUAGUGUGGCCUCAGUGGCACAACAGGAGACUGCUGUGUCGGCUGUAGGGUACUAAAAGUCCUGCCGCCGCCGCGCCGUCGACCUGGAGGGACGGUCGGACGGGCCGGUUUGAGGUGUUCGACGUCGAGUGCCUAGGUUAGGUUCUUUGCAGGACGGUCGAUCACGGUACCAAGGGGGUGCCUUCCUCGUCCCUCAAGAUCGCUUCGAAAUAUGUUCCUCGAUACCGUACGAACCCGAUCCGGCAACUAGUGUCACGGAGUGGUUCCACUUUCAAAUGAUGAAAAGCGUACAAAUAUAACCUUGUCCGUACAAAUAUAAUCUUGUCCAUACAGAGUGGCGGUAACCACAAACGAGAAGAACUACGGGGUAUUGGUUACUUACUUAAACGAUGUGUUGUGUUUGUCAUCGAUAAACACAAUACCCUGUGACGAAACAAGAACACAAUUUUUUACUGUUAUACUGAAACAAAUACGCCUUAUUAGUAGGUCCAUAAAUUUCAAGUAGGUGCAUGUAUAAAUCUUGAACUAUAAGGGAUCACACCAGUACAUAAUCAACUUUUUACUUAUAGGUAGUCUCCCAUGGUGGAAUGUAUGUCACGAAGGUCGGAAUGUCCGGAGUGGUCUUCAGGGAAACGGUUCGAAGUGACACUACUGAUUGAAUGAUGAACUGUUUAUAGAAACGAUUGACUAUUUUCGUUGUUGAAUCCAUGUAUUUGAGUAAAAGUGUACAAUACUGUUUGACUAAAGAAGGUCGACUGUUUUUUGGAUCUUUUAUCUCAUGAUUAUGUAUCUCCGCCAUAUUAACAAUUCCGAUGAAAUGCUUAAUUAAACCCUUAUCUGACUUGUAUAGUCCUAUAUGUACUCAACUGACGCUUCUUUUCUUUAGUAGUAGAUGAUUAUGACAUGAUUUACUUGUAAUAGGUAAGUGUAGAGGUCAUAACAUGAUAAUAUGUACUGUCUCUUACUGAUUGUAAUGAGCAAGAAGAGAAUUUCGACGGAUCUUUUAUGUCAGUCGUCUCUUCAAUCUUCCUAAAACUCGUGAUUUGAGGUCAAUAGUUAUGUGACCUGACAGAUGGCUAGAGGUUGGCCAAUUAAAUUCUUAGUAGUGGAAAUGGUUAUUCCCCAGUUAACAGACAUUCUACACUAAACGAACGUACGUAAAGUAUCCAUUUAUACACGUAUUUUCAAUCCUGAACGGAUGUAUGGACCUAUAAAUGUAAGUGUAUCUGUUAUAUAGAAGUUAAGUGUACAUCCUGUGUUCUUACAUAUCAGUGUUUGAGUGUUAAGGUACCGUCGUUUUUAUAAGUUAUUAGACACUUGAGGUAUUUGUUACUAUAAUAUCUAGAGAACAAAACAACUAUAUAACUGUAUAUCUUCCUCUACAUCAGAUGUCCUCUCUUCGUUGGUCGUUACCACAAUUACAGUGGAGAGGUAUCAUGGUAGCCAGGUUUCCGUGAGUUCAUUUUUAGUUUUGUGUUUUUGCUGUUUACCGUGACCCUCAAACCUCGGGCGGGUAGACUAAAUCUACUAGACCCUUUCUCGUUACUAAAACGGGAGAACACCUAAAUUUUAUGUUAAUCUUUUCAAGUGACUUGACUCCUUACCCACAAAAUUCGAGUGGGUUGAAGGAAUCAAAACUUUUACUUGUUUAGGGAAAGUUUUGUAUUAAAUUAUGUAGUAUAGAUACGUCUGUAACGGUUAAGUUAAAAGACCAUGCGUUAUCAAUUUUGUAUCCUUGAAGAUCAUGUUGUAUAUAUAUGCGUCCUCAUAUAUAGUCUUUCGUACCAUCUCAAGAAAACAAUAAUUUUACGAGGGAGAACACUCAAAUUAUCGUCAAAUCCUAUUUUAGGACCUAGCGAUGUGGUCAGUGAUUUCAACUCGCAACCUACCGAAGUUUCUAGGUCGACUACCACAAUUUGACUACUACGUGUCAGUCGAAGGAGCAGUCCUGUUUCGAAUGUGCGUCGGGUCCGGUUAACCCGACUAGUUUUUCAGUUUUCUUUAGCUUUGGGUGGGUUAAUCUGAAGGAUGUGUGUUCGUGACCGUGAAGUUUGUGUGUGCGCGCGGUGGAUAUAAUAUCCACACGAUUACGGAUUUCACGGUCUUGUUUAGUACGAGGAUACGUGUAGUGUUGUCUGUACGCAUUUGUGUAAUGUUUAAAGACUUCUUUUCCCAGCCCCACAGUGUUCCGGUGUACUAAAAUUAUCCUUUCUGAAGACCAGUACACAGUAGAUUUUCAUAUACGUACGUUCCUGGAAAAGAGAGAACUAGAACCUUUGUAGAUGGACGGACCUUUCUACGAUCUUCGUACUACGUCUGGUCGCCGUUUCAUAAAAAGGAGGAUUCUUCGAUGAGGGAGGCAAGGUUUUAUCUAUUGAGUUGAAACAUAAUUUCAAUCAUGUUUCAACUCAGUAGAUAAAACCUUACCUCCCUCAUGUAUCUCUCUCGUCACUCGGUCACUAGGAGUGGAUCGAUCACGCACGCGCGCGGGUGUGUGUGUAGUUCGGUUGUGUGGUAUGUGUGUCGUCGUCGUGCGUUCGUUGUUUGUGCGUACACCGCGUUGCGUGUGCCUCGGUUUCUGUGUUGGUUAUUUCGUACCUCGUCUGCCAGUACGAACGGCAGCUCGGCGAGUGUGAUUUUCCCUAGUUUCUCAUCCUGUAAAGAUAAGCAUUUGGAAGAGUAGCAUCCCUCAUUAAUAGUUUGUCUCUUUGUUUUCCUUUUCUUUUCGUUCUUCAAGGGAAGGAGGUAGACAAAAAAUAAAAGAAAUUGAAUAUAUGUAGUCUGGUUGUGUGUUCGUGAAAUAUUUUUGUAUUAAGGGUUAAGUUCUUGUGUCAACUUAUAAUCUCGUGGUGUAUGAUGAGAAGCGUCUCAUUUUGGCCCGUUCGGUUCAGUACUAAUACGAUAAUCAGUCAUCCAUGUAAUGUGUCGAACAAGUACGCUUCUUGUAGACGAUAAUCUAAGAAUAUCGGUGUGAAGUCCAAAGAUAAAAGAUUUAUUUUUAUUCACUAGAGUGAUGUUAUUUUUUAUUUGUGUAUAUAUCGGCUGUCUUAAUGGGACGUUUUGAUAGUCGUUCCAUCAUCGUUUUAUAAUAUGAUAGGAUUAGUACAAUGAUUUAAUGUUAACUGGCUGAGAUCAGAUCCAAAGUUUAAACUUUUCCCUCUUGUUGAGUGGUACAACAAACUAAAGAAGAACCUAGGUACAAAGGAUAGUGGUCAGGGGAAGUACGGCGGGCUUAGGAGUAACUAGAGACGUUUAGAAAUUUGCUUUCGUAGGUUUAUUCGUUAUACAUAUAUGAGGGAGGCAGGGUUUUAUUCACUGAUUUGAAACAUGAUUGUUUCAUCUUUUUAGUUUAAUUCUUUUCGAUAGAUUAACUACCUUCCUUGAAGUAAAAUAUUACAUUAAGUGAGACAGUCCGUUUGACACUACAAAAUCGUAGGUGCCAGUUUUGUAGUUGUAUUUUAAGUUUAUAAAUCUGUACUGUUAUCGUCUCAAAAAGAGUUAGUAAGUACACCCUGUUUUAUGUAUCUUACAUUGUCAUCGUGAAGAAAGAGUACAUGAGUACAACCCGUCUUUUUUAUAAUCUACAACUUUUUAGUACAAUGUGUACUUCGGUUUAUUCGUAAAGACGUAUUUGGUUUUCCUAUUUGAGUGGGAUCCCAUCUGACGUUAGUAGACUAUUGGUGUAGUUAGGACAUAUUAGAUAAGUUUGUCUAAGUAUCCAGUUUUAUACUGUUUAUCGUAGGUAACACAUCGAAACAAUUCCCAUAACAAACUACGGCCCGACGUUUCGUAUUUGUGAACAAUGAUGUAAAUUUAGAUACGACGAUUUUUUCUAUUUAUUCACCAUUCUUAAUACUUUUAUAUAUUGUGGGAAAGGUUCCUAAGGUUUUUGAUUUUUCUUUUCCUACGGGUUAUACCCGAGAAGAUAUACACGUGAAAUAUAAAGGAUAUACUUUUCCUUAUUCCGUACUUUGGAUCGUUCGUCAGUUCGCUUGGACUGCCAUGACCAGAGAACGGUAACUCCAGUUACGUGAACUAAACCGGGACGCACGAUGACGGAAGUACGGCGUUCCGAAAGAAUGAGAACGGCAGGAGAGGGAGCUUACGUCACAUGUAUGUGGUAUCUUUUUACAUUCCUUGACUUGUAUACUGUAUAGGAAGUAGUUAAGAAUUAUUUUUUGAUUUUCAUGUCAAAAAGAGUUACCGAGUAUUCGGAAGACAAGUUAGGAAAGAAGAGUGUCUCUCAAAAGGAGAGGGAGAUCACGUUCCUUGCUGUUCACGUAUGUGGUAUCUCUCUUACAAUCGUUGACUUGUAUAUGGUACAGCAAGUAGUUAAGAAUGUUUUUUGACUUGACUUUUACUUCGAGAAGAGUAACCGAGUAUCGGAAGAAAAGUUAGGAACGAAGAGUGUGUCACAAAGAUCUAAGUGUUUAUUGGUUUAUUCCUCCGUUGGUUGUUAUAUAUCAUCGUGUAUAAUCGUUGUGUUCAUCUCAGUCCGGUUCGUCGUCGGUUCGAACCGUCGUCGUCUUGGUUGUCGUUUGUGUAUAUGGUUGUGUUUAGUUUCCCUCCACCCCGAGAACUGGUCUUAGUCUGAGAAGAGUGGGAGAGAAAGAAGAGUAGGAGGAGAAGGCUCCGACGUGGUAGCAGCCGGUCGUACAGUUACAGUUAGAACAGCUACUCGAGCGGAAACCACGCCGCGGCCAUCGCUGGCCCUGCCAACCCCGGGGUAGGGACCCGCUCGCGGGCCUGGGUCGAGAGUUCGGCCCGCGCCAGGUCGUCGGACUGCCGCCCAAGCAGCUACCGGUGCGACGGCUCCCGCAGUUCCUUGAACACCCCUUGCUUCCGCUCCGGCCACAACCGGGAACACUCCCGCAGCCGUAGCACCCGCCGCUCCUUCCCCAACUGCCACCACCGCCCCUCUCCUCUGCUCCCCCCUAAGACCCUCCCCCUCACCUCCGCGCGCCCACCGCCGGGAACCAGAACCGGGUCUGGUCGAGGGGCUGUCGAUCCCAGACCCCGGCCCCGAGCCCUAGGAGCCAGCGGUGGGAGGGGAUGAGGAACGUUACCACCGCCGUACCCUCUCUCUCUCUCCUCCUGCUCUUCCUCAUCCUCUCCACCGCCGCGCUUCUAGACGCGGGUUAGGUCUUAGUACCACACGCCGUGCACUACGGCCACUGGACGCGGGCUGAGACGACCUGGCUCUUGACGGCGGGGGUGACGACGUGGAGUUCACGGCCCCUCUCUUCCGUCGCAGCCGGCGGCGCACGCUUCUUCUCCUACCUCGGCCGCCGCGCCGCCCUCCCUUCCUUCCCUAGCCCCCUCCCCUCUCGUGCCCUCUCUUCCGUGCCCUAUAAAAAGUGGGGCCAGCUAGGUCCAAAAGUAGCGACGAGAGCGAGGGUCUUUGGGUAGAGGUGGUGCUCCUUCGUUUUUUGGUCGACUAAGGACCUGGGGGUGUCAAUUGUUCCGGGUGUGCAGUAAAUGGAUAACAUGGUCAGUACAUACAUGUUUUGUUAGGUGCCAAAUGGUCCGCGUCGGUUUUUUUUUGACAUCGUCGAGCUAGCCCACCUGGUGCUGCAGCGCGCGCUCGUUACGGCGAUCUUACCGCCCAUGAGAUCGUCCGAAAUAUACAAUCUAAUACAAACCAGACAGACAAGAACAGUGAUAUGAUAGUAUUAUGAGACGGUUUCGACAUACUGGUUUUUCGACCCACGAAGUGUCGACAGGUAACGAUUACUCCCGUCAAUUCUUAAAGUGUGGGAUGAUAUUUUACGUGUUGUGUUGACCGUCUCAUAACAGCAUGAUGAUUACGUACACGUUUCCUAAUGGUUUUAGGUGCCUGGCUGUCGGUUUGAUAGCAUGCAGCAUCUCGUUAUUACGAUGUGCAACCGCAUGUCGCCACGGUACGCCUUGUGCUAAGGUUUGGCGUGGAGCGAGCAGUCCGGCGGGAGUGUUGCUGAUAUGGGGACGCGGGGUGGGUGUGCGCGUGUGGAAUAUCACGCCAGGCAGGGCAGCGCACGAAAGUGUAGGUACUAGUCCCGGACGGAGUCGCUCGAGACGCGGUCGACGACGAGGACGCACGAGGGCGGCGGCAGGAGCGGCGCGCGGCGGCUGGUUCUCUACCUGAGCCUGCCGCGGUAGUGCGUGGCGUCGCAGCUCCGGUUGCCGCACGCGGAGGUGCACCGCCUCCGGCCGGGCCGGCCGCGCGGCCAGCGCGACGACGACGUGCCCAAGGGCCUCCACACCAUGUGGACCGCGGUGGUCUACGCGCGCGACCGGCGGCGCCCGAUGGCGCGGCAGCGCGGGCUGUACGCGCCGAUGCCGCCGAGGCUGCGCGGGGGGCCGCCCGGCCUGGUCAUGUGCCGCGACGUGCAGCAGCCGCUAGAACAACGAGACUAACUAAGCGAGCCGCUCUUCGUCCACAAGCAGCACCGCGUGCUGACCCCGCGGUACUAGCGCACCUCGGACACGGACAAGGCCGGCCUGUCCCACUUCCGCGAGCAGCGGGAGUCGCACGGGAAGUCAGGGGCCUCGGGGCGCUCCUUCGGGCAGCUGCCGAACUUCCGAGACAUGCCCCUGCUCAUGAUGUAGACGGCAUAGGUCCUCGGACCCCGUUAACUUCGUCUUAAGCGUGCCGAGCCGUGCCUCGACCACGAUUCUUUCAAAAAGUGAAUAGCUUGAGGACCGGGAGACAAAUAGGGGUUCUCGCCGACCCCGAGUGGUCUACUACUCCACGGGAACGGCUCGACCUAGUGCCUCCUCCUGUAGUUUAUGAUGCGCUCAGUCAAACUGUUCAGACCGAAGUGACCCCGUAACUUGAUGAUGGCACGGGACUUGUUCUGUACCCUUGAGUGCAGCGGUACCUGGCCUCGACUCUAUUUCCAUGGUUGGUUCAAAUAUCAACCACUACACCUGAACAGUAUGGUACAACGUCCGCGUGUACUAAAAUAAUUGUUUCCACCGGAGUUCUUCAAACAAGGUAAUGACCUGCUACACCACCAUUACUUUCUACAGCCCGUAAAGUAUUUACUUCUUUUUGGUCUUCUUUAAUCACGGGUAUAUUAGUCAAAGAAUUUCUUUAAGCUGACUUUACUCCUCAUUGCUUGUGUAGUACCUUGUACCAGUUUUACAUCUACGAACUACCUUUUAAACAUAAUUCGGGUAACAUAAUAACACAGCGUGUUAAAGUGUAUACAUACGUUGAUAAUAAAAGAAAUGUAAAGUGAGAAACAAAUUAAAAAGUACAGAUCACGGCGAUGGGACGAAAGAUCACACACACGAACCCAACAAAGAAGAAUUGAUUUUAUUUUCACUGUCGCCGAUCAGUGACAGCGGGCUCAAGAAAAAAUUACAAAACACGGUG